CACCCUAGCGUGCGGAUGGGAGACCAGUGAAAUAAAAGCUCCACCAGGAGAAAAAGUUUUCUCUCCGAGCAGCUGCUGCUACAAGGAGCUUGCUCAUUAACUAAUGUAAGCCAUGCACGUUAUUCACUACUACUAAUAUCAACUUAAAUGCAACGUGCAAUUUGCAAAGAAAAUAUUCACAUUUGAGAGGAGAUUAUUUUAAAAAUAAAUACUUGCAAAAGUGUGUGUGUGUGUGUGUGUGUGUUUGUGUGAUGAAGGGUCAUACAGGAUGGAGAUUGAUAUCAAUAAAUUGUAACAACAGCACCAAAGAUAGGAUGAUAAAUGAAGGUUUUAUUUUCUGCGGAAAGUGAAAGUAACUCGACCAAGAGAGAAAAGUUUCUUCCACUAGUAGCUCCAACAAGGAGCUCGCCCACCAACUAAUGCAAGCAUGUUCUUCAGGAAGGAUGGUGAAAUUUUAACAUUAGCUGCGAAGAUAUUUAAGUUUAAGUAAAUUUUACUUAGUUUAUAUUGAAUAUAGUAAAAAUUGCUCGUUUUUAUUUUCCAGAGGAGCCAUAUCCUUUGGCUCCACGCCGAGAAGCAACAGGUGCUGUGGUGGUAAUAAUUUCAUCAAACGUAGACUUCUUCAACGGUCCAUUAUGGAGUUUUAUAAUCAAGAACUGAGCAACACGAUCCCCAAGUUCAACUUGAUAUGGAAGUUUCCCAUGGUUGAUUAGCAUAACCCCCAAAGUUCCUUCAAAAUCUUCAUCGACCACGCCCCCCAUGACGUCAAUUUUAUGCCGCAACGCUAACCCAGACCUUGGUUUAAUCAAACCAACAUGGCCCAACGUACAAAUCAUAACCAGCAGAUUGAGGGUGCAACUUUGUUGGAAAUUUACUUUCAAAGGUCUUCCUAAUAAAGUGGACCGUUCUAUAGUCAUCUAGAAGGAAAUCAAUUACUACAUUCAAUCCAUAUAAUGAGGAGAUACCAUCAAAACGGGAUACCAAAAAUUGUCAGGUAAAAGAAAGCUUUCUUUGGCUUGGAAAAUCGAAGUCAUAGCUACGUUACAUGAUUUAACAAAUUUUAAUUUUCUUUGGAGUGUUAUAGGCAAGAAGUGAAAAAACUGUGUAUGUCCCAUUAUAUAAUCGUUAUUUGAAAUAAUUAUAAGAUCUUCCGAAUUUUUAUAGACGCCCUGAUUAGAAUCUACUUCCUCUGACCAACCAACUUGUUCAGCUUAAGAGAGGUAAAGAAAAAAUAGAUUUCAGUUUAAUUUUGAAAGGAUUUAUGGGAUCCAGGUAGUAUAAUCAGGGUCUGUGUCAAUCUUUGUUUGCAGGGUAUCGCAAGCUGCAACCAACGAUUGAAAAUAUUUAAACGACAGGUUUGCCCCUGUGGUUUGAUUCUUUCUGAUGCAGACAUAAGCCUGCCCAUUUUUUCUCCAAGUUUGGAGUUUUAGCCAAAACCCCUGACCUCGCUGGCCCUCCCAAUGGACAAUAUUUUGUCCACUAGGAUCGUCACUCCUUUCCCCUUCGGGAGCAAAAUUAAGCGAAAUAGGACCUUUGUAAGAUGAUGAAGGCACAUAUGCUUCAUAUGCUCCGGAGCUGAUGAUGAUGAGCUUGCAGGAGGAAUCGUAGUACGAGCAACAGGAACAAGCGCCGUUGAAGGAACAGGAACAGCAGAAGGCGGAACACUCUUGACUCGACCUCUCUUCUCCGCUGGGGACUUUUCUGCAAUUAAUAGAAAUAAAAAUUUAAAGCUUAUGAUUACAACAAAUUUCCCUAUUAACAUUUUAAAAUAAUUAUUGACAUCUUACCCUUUUCAGUCAUCUUCCUCUUGUUAGCGGCGGCAGCAGCCUUGACUGUCUUCUCUUCAGGACCAGUGUAGAACAGGCUUAACGGGUUUCGACGAGCGGCAUCUAGCUCCUUCUUGGAAGCAGCGUCAACCUUCUUCGCAUCAGCUGCAUUCUCCCUUGCUUCCCGUCGUCGUUUCUGCUCCGUUCUUUGCGCUUUGACUUAGGCACUGCAUACAAAUCAUCCACGAGGAACAAAAUCAGGAUCCUCCUCUGGCUCAGACGGAGAAUCCUCGUCCUCUUCGUCUUCAUCCUCCUCCUCAUCAGUGAAAGGUCCGCUUGGUUCCUCCUCAUCAUCGUCUACGACGAAUCCAGCGUCAAAGACUUCAGGUUGUCGGCGGUGAGAAAGAAGAAAAGCUCGUGCGUCCACAGACUCUCGACUUCCUGGCUUAGCCUCCUCUAAGAUUUUUCGUGCUCUUGCCACUGCGUUUAUCCCUGCUAAGAUUUACGUAAAUAUUGGAAUUUAUUUAAGUUUAUAUUUUAUCAACAUUUGAAAGUUUUCCUAAAGCUUGUUUAGUUUCUUAAAAUUAUUUUAUUUGUGUUUUAGGAAAACUUACCCUGAGACAUUUUGGAGUUUUAAAGUUUUUAUUUCUUCUUUGGAAAUCCUUUGCACGUAAUGUUGAAACAUUGACUAACUUGCUCAUUACUUUGCCAAUUGUUUUUAUAGUCUUAGUAAUUUACAAAAAAAAAAUUCCAAAAUAAGUACAUACCGUAAAAAUGUAAUAACUCCCUAGGGGUUACUAAUUCAAUUAUUUACAAAAUACGGUUAAUAGUGGUAAGUGGUAAUUAAUAUUUUUUACAGUAUUGGAGUUGAAGUGAUGGUAUGUUUUAUUAUAUGUAAACACAUUCCUGGUAUUAAGAUAAUGACGUCACGCCGAGAUAU